CAAUAGCGUAUAUUAAAGUUGUUGCGGUUAAAAGCUCGUAGUUGGAUUUCUGCCGAGGAUGACCGGUCCGCCCUGUGGGUGUGCAUCUGGCUCAGCCUUGGCAUCUUCCUGAAGAACGUAGCUGCACUUGACUGUGUGGUGCGGUAUUUAGGACAUUUACUUUGAGAAAAUUAGAGUGUUUCAGGCAGGCUAGGCCGGAAUACAUUAGCAUGGAAUAAUGGAAUAGGACUACGGUCUCGUUGUUGGUUUGAGGGACUGGAGUAAUGAUUAAUAGGGAUAGUUGGGGGCAUUAGUAUUUAAUUGUCAGAGGUGAAAUUCUCAGAUUUGUUAAAGACUAACUUAUGCGAAAGCAUUUGCCAAGGAUGUUUUCAUUAAUCAAGAACGAAAGUUAGGGGAUCAAAGACGAUCAGAU
rnacentral:rRNA from 1 species